rnacentral:rRNA from 1 species
CAGGUACAGAGGGAUGCUACCGGGCGACCGGAUGCGGAUCUCGAAAGCCUGUCCCAGUUCGGACUGGAGUCUGCAACCCGACUCCACGAAGUUGGAUUCGCUAGUAAUCGCGCAUCAGCCAUGGCGCGGUGAAUACGUUCCCGGGCCUUGUACACACCGCCCGUCAAGCCAUGGGAGCCGGGGGCGCCUGAAGUCCGGGACCGCGAGGACCGGCCUAGGGCGAAACUGGUAACUGGGCUAAGUCGUAACAAGGUAGC